UACGUAGGGAGCAAGCGUUGUCCGGAAUCAUUGGGCGUAAAGCGCGCGUAGGUGGCCCCGUAAGUCCGCUGUGAAAGUCAAAGGCUCAACCUUUGAAUGCCGGUGGAUACUGCAGGGCUAGAGUCCGGAAGAGGCGAGUGGAAUUCCUGGUGUAGCGGUGGAAUGCGCAGAUAUCAGGAGGAACACCAACGGCGAAGGCAGCUCGCUGGGACGGUACUGACGCUGAGGCGCGAAAGCGUGGGGAGCGAACAGG
rnacentral:rRNA from 1 species